GAAUCAUCCUCAGCUGGUUAGCAGAGGAUCCCACGGCUGCAUUUCUCACCCCAUCACCUGUGCUGGUCUGAAACAUCACAGCCCGAGCUGUUCUACGUGCUGUGGUGUUCCCUCCCCCUGUUGGCUGGUGACCUACUUGGAGCAGCGACGUGCUGCUGCACGGCCGCAGCUGCACCAUCUCCAUGCCCAGGCCUGGCCAAGGUGACGAGCUGCAGUGCUGCCACCUGCUCUCCCAGAUGGAUGCUGGCAAGCAGAGGACCAGGCGGGACUCGGCUCCUGCUGCCUCCUGCUCUGGCCUGAGCACCACGAUAGCACAGAGGCUGUGCUGGCUGUGGUGCCCAGGGAAGGCAGGAGCCCUGGAAGCAGCUCCCAGCUGGAAUGGGUCCCUGCUUCUCUCAGAUCCUGCAAGCGUAGUUCUGUGCGCUCUUUGGGAUGACCUUUUCCAGCAGAAGCGGAGGAUGAAGCACCCUACAAAGUCACAGCAUGGAUGCAGGCCUGGUCUGGAAAGCAGAUUUCCAUGCACAGAAGCGAGGACUUGGGCUGGAGCAAGCCGCAGGAUCCCAUCCUGACACAGAAUCGUGUCGGCCUCAAAGCUGGUCAGGAAAAAGGCACCCACCUCUUUCUUAAAAUGCGUGCCCUGAGCCUGAACACAGCAAGAAGCCCCAAGUGCACCAAAUAAAUCAAAGCUCACAAUUCACCAGGACCAAGAAGCGGAGGCUUUCCUACAGCUUUUAUACGCAGGACGAUUUACGAUUUAAUUUAAACGCGCCGUUUCCAGCUGUUUCGUUUUGCAAGCAAUCACCUAGGCUACAUUAACCUGAUGGUGACGUACUGCUGUCCCGGGGAGCCCUCAGAGAGGCAGAGCGAGACCACAGUGCUCAGAGCUGUGAAUUUCCCCGUUUAUCUUGGCGGGGGUGAACACGAUUUUGCCAGCAAAGCAGGUCCACACACCUUCAGUGUGUCAUUGCCAGCCUCUGCUGUCAAAAGGGCUGGCUGUACAGCAGUGUGUCUUCUGUGGGCUGUUCCCUUCCUUCACUUAGAGCCUCCCACCAUCGAGGGUUGU